rnacentral:rRNA from 1 species
CCCCUAAGGCGAGGCCGAAAGGCGUAGUCGAUGGGAAAAUGGUUAAUAUUCCAUUACUUCUGUGUAAUGCGAUGAGAGGACGGAGAAGGCUAAAUCAGCCUGGCGUUGGUUGUCCAGGUGAAAGGAUGUAGGCAUGUAUCUUAGGCAAAUCCGGGGUACUCUAUGCUGAGAUCUGAUAGCAAGCUGUACUUGUACAGCGAAGUGGUUGAUGCCAUGCUUCCAGGAAAAGUCUCUAAGCUUCAGUUACACAGGAAUCGUACCCGAAACCGACACAGGUGGUCAGGUCGAGUAGACCAAGGCGCUUGAGAGAACU